AUGAUAAGACAGGUUUGGAGUCCAGACAGCAGAGGUAUCCAAGAAGACCAACACAAGGGCGGUUGUCUCCUAAGACGUGGAAGGUUUGAUCACUUAAAGGACUAUUCUUAGUGCCAUAUCAAGCUCUUUUUACCCACUACCCUUAGACCUUUUACAUUUACAAGAAUAAUCUAUAUGCUAAAGAGCAUCAUUAAUAAGGAUUAAUGACAUACAGAGCUCUGGAUGGCAUGGACAAAG
rnacentral:lncRNA from 1 species